rnacentral:rRNA from 1 species
CUACGGGCGGCAGCAGUAGGGAAUAUUGCACAAUGGACGGAAGUCUGAUGCAGCGACGCCGCGUGGAUGAUGAAGGCCUUCGGGUUGUAAAAUCCUUUUCAGGGAGAAGAGGAAGGACGGUAUCCCUGGAAUAAGCGUCGGCUAACUACGUGCCAGCAGCCGCGGUAAUACGUAGGACGCAAGCGUUAUCCGGAUUUACUGGGCGUAAAGAGUCUGUAGGCGGUUUAGUAAGUUUGAUGUGAAAGCUCCAGGCUCAACUUGGAGAGGGCAUUGAAUACUGCUAGACUUGAGGGGAUCAGAGGAAAGCGGAAUUUCCGGUGUAGCGGUAAAAUGCGCAGAUAUCGGAAAGAACACCAGUGGCGAAGGCGGCUUUCUGGGAUCAACCUGACGCUGAGAGACGAAAGCUAGGGUAGCGAACAGGAUUAGAUACCCCUGUAGUC